AUCGCGUCCCGGCCCGCCAGGUCCGGGUGGGUGACCAGCAGUCGCUCGACGUCGGCCAGCAGACGGGCCCGUUCGGGCUCCGGCAGCGCGAUG
rnacentral:tRNA from 1 species